AACGAGAGACUCGGUGAAAUCAUAGUACCUGUGAAGAUGCAGGUUACCCGCGACAGGACGGAAAGACCCCGUGGAGCUUUACUGUAGCCUGAUAUUGAAAUUCGGCACAGCUUGUACAGGAUAGGUAGGAGCCUUUGAAACGUGAGCGCUAGCUUACGUGGAGGCGCUGGUGGGAUACUACCCUAGCUGUGUUGGCUUUCUAACCCGCACCACUUAUCGUGGUGGGAGACAGUGUCAGGCGGGCAGUUUGACUGGGGCGGUCGCCUCCUAAAAGGUAACGGAGGCGCUCAAAGGUUCCCUCAGAAUGGUUGGAAAUCAUUCAUAGAGUGUAAAGGCAUAAGGGAGCUUGACUGCGAGACCUACAAGUCGAGCAGGGUCGAAAGACGGACUUAGUGAUCCGGUGGUUCCGCAUGGAAGGGCCAUCGCUCAACGGAUAAAAGCUACCCCGGGGAUAACAGGCUUAUCUCCCCCAAGAGUUCACAUCGACGGGGAGGUUUGGCACCUCGAUGUCGGCUCAUCGCAUCCUGGGGCUGUAGUCGGUCCCAAGGGU
rnacentral:rRNA from 1 species